rnacentral:lncRNA from 10 species
CGCCCCACUGCACUCCAGCCUGCAUGACAGAGUGAGACUCUGUUUCAAACAAAACAAAACAAAAACAAAAACUAAAACUAAAAAACACAUUGGUGUAUAUCCUUCUGAAUGCUUUUCUAGGCAUAUAUACAACACACACACUGACAUUCUAAAAUAAAAUCCAUAUACAUUUUCAUACAGUUUUAUGAGCUAUUUUUUUCAGUUAACAUCUUAUUAACAUCUUUCCUUUCAACGGGCCACUUCACAUGAUUAUGAAUGUUAGUCAUGUGUGUCAAGGUAUAAAUGGAUGUCUCAUAGUUUAUUUUAGCCUGAGGUUUUACAAUUUUAUUUUAAACACUGGAAUCCUUUCAUGAAACAAAAUCAUACAUGGGGCGUAGCAAAUAAACAGAUAAACAAAACAAACAGAGCAGCUCCAUUUGAUGAGUAAAAUUGCAAAGUCAAGAGUCAGUCAUAUUUUGAAAACUUUGGCUGUAUAUUACCAAAUUUUUUUCCAGAGAGAUUGUGAGAGCCUGUUUUAUUACCCUUUCACCAUCAUGGAAUAUUUUAAAAAUGUUCUCAAAUUUUGUCUUAUGAUGUUAAUGUGCCUUUUAAUAUUAUCUGUGAUCUUAAACAUUUCCUUUGUUUAUUGAUUUCUUUGCUUAUUCAUACAGAAUUUACUUACUAUUUUAAAUCCACAUUUAUUUUGGAUUAUACUAUGCUGAAUUAUUGUGUUUUUUGAUUUUUA